UACGUAGGGUGCGAGCGUUAAUCGGAAUUACUGGGCGUAAAGCGUGCGCAGGCGGUUUUGUAAGCCAGAUGUGAAAUCCCCGGGCUUAACCUGGGAAUGGCAUUUGGGACUGCAAGGCUUGAGUGCGGCAGAGGAGACGUGGAAUUCCUGGUGUAGCAGUGAAAUGCGUAGAUAUCAGGAGGAACACCGAUGGCGAAGGCAGGCUCGCUGGCUGACACUGACGCUCAU
rnacentral:rRNA from 1 species